GACGAACGCUGGCGGCGUGCCUAAUACAUGCAAGUAGAACGCACAGUUUAUACCGUAGCUUGCUACACCAUAGACUGUGAGUUGCGAACGGGUGAGUAACGCGUAGGUAACCUGCCUGGUAGCGGGUGAUAACUAUUGGAAACGAUAGCUAAUACCGCAUAAUAUUAAUUAUUGCAUGAUAAUUGAUUGAAAGAUGCAACUGCAUCACUACCAGAUGGACCUGCUUUGUAUUAGCUAGUAGGUGAGGUAACGGCUCACCUAGGCGACGAUACAUAGCCGACCUGAGAGGGUGAUCGGCCACACUGGGACUGGGACACGGCCCAAACUCCUACGGGAGGGAGCAGUAAGGAAUCUUCGGCAAUGGACGAAAGUCUGACCGAGCAACGCCGCGUGAGUGAAGAAGGUUUUCGGAUCGUAAAGCUCUGUUGUAAGGGAAGAACGGGUGUGAGAGUGGAAAGUUCACACUGUGACGGUAUCUUACCAGAAAGGGACGGCUAACUACGUG
rnacentral:rRNA from 1 species